rnacentral:rRNA from 1 species
AUUGAACGCUCGCGGGAGGCUUAACACAUGCAAGUCGAACGAGAGGCGGACGGGUGAGUAAUGUAUGGGAAACUGCCCGAUGGCGGGGGAUAACUACUGGAAAGGGUAGCUAAUACCGCAUACCAUCGGAUGUGCCCAUAUGGGAUUAGCUAGUGGGUGGGGUAAAGGCUCACCUAGGCGACGAUCCCUAGCUGGUUUGAGAGGAUGACCAGCCACACUGGGACUGAGACACGGCCCAGACUCCUACGGGAGGCAGCAGUGGGGAAUUUUGCACAAUGGGGGCAACCCUGAUACAGCCAUCCCGCGUGUAUGAUGAAUGCCUUCGGGUUGUAAAGUACUUUUGGCAGGGAAGCGUUAUUUGCAGAAGAAGCACCGGCUAACUCCGUGCCAGCAGCCGCGGUAAUAC